UGGGGAAUAUUGGACAAUGGGCGCAAGCCUGAUCCAGCAAUGCCGCGUGAGUGAUGAAGGCCUUAGGGUUGUAAAGCUCUUUCGCACGCGACGAUGAUGACGGUAGCGUGAGAAGAAGCCCCGGCUAACUUCGUGCCAGCAGCCGCGGUAAUACGAAGGGGGCUAGCGUUGUUCGGAAUUACUGGGCGUAAAGGGCGCGUAGGCGGCCUGUUUAGUCAGAAGUGAAAGCCCCGGGCUCAACCUGGGAAUAGCUUUUGAUACUGGCAGGCUUGAGUUCCGGAGAGGAUGGUGGAAUUCCCAGUGUAGAGGUGAAAUUCGUAGAUAUUGGGAAGAACACCGGUGGCGAAGGCGGCCAUCUGGACGGANACUGACGCUGAGGCGCGAAAGCGUGGGGAGCAAACAGAUUAGAUACCCUGGUAGUCCACGCGUAAACGAUGAAUGCUAGACGUCGGGGUGCAUNCACUUCGGUGUCGCCGCUAACGCAUUAAGCAUUCCGCCUGGGGAGUACGGCCGCAAGGUUAAAACUCAAAUGAAUUGACGGGGUCAUAGCUGUUCCU
rnacentral:rRNA from 1 species